rnacentral:tmRNA from 1 species
GACCCGGGGGCGGUACCCGGCGCCUCCACCAAAAGCCUAAGACCUGACAUUCAGGGAACUUAGGUUUUUCAUGGGGGCGAAAUAGGAUCGACGAGGGUGUAAAGGAUCUUCUUUUGCUCGGCAUGGUUCCGCCGUUAUCGGGCCGUUUGAUAGUUGCAAAUGACAACUACGCUGAGGCACGUCUAGCUGCGUAAGCGGUUCGACUGUUUCGAACUUAGUCCUGUAAGUUAGCGCUUGCAGGCGGGGUUCGGAGGCACCUGGCAACAGAAGCCUCCACU